CGGCGCUGCGCCAACCGCAAGGAGGCAGGCGACCACGGUAGGGUCAGCGACUGGGGUGAAGUCGUAACAAGGUAGCCGUAGGGGAACCUGCGGCUGGAUCACCUCCUUUCUAAGG
rnacentral:rRNA from 1 species